GUGGAAUCUGGUUGCCAUGGGGAUGCGAGGUUUUCUACUCAGGCUGUUUGAGAAGCAAAUUUUUCCAUUGUGUAUAUGUGAGAAAGUGCCUACUACUCCUUUGCUCUCCAACACUCAGAAAAUGCUCUGCAAAUCCAUGAACACAGAAGGCUGCUUAUCUAUUUCACUGGAGCUAAAAAUGUUCAACAGCCACAUCCUUGACCUUGGAGAUCUCUAAGCUCAGAGGCCCUUGGAGAUCUUUCCACAGGAUCUCCUGCCCCAGUUUCAGAAUAGUGGGAGUCAGGGGAGACUGGAACAGAGAUGACAAUUGCAGCUGGGCAGGAAGGCCCUGAGGGCACUUAGCAGUCACCCUGGAGUUGUAAAUGGCAGAGCCUCGCCAGCUACAGACCCGCCAGCCAGUUGCACAGCAUACAUCAAAGGCUCGAGAUGCCCGGCUGUGGGUUUAAAUGGAGCCCAGGUGUAGCCUGCAAACUCCCUCUCUUCUCCCCCACUGAGCUACACCUCCACUUUACACGCUGAGCUUGGCAACCUCAGCACGACCAAGGCUGUGGGGUCAGAGUUGCUCUCAGUCUUGCCAGCUAGGAACGCUCAGUUAGGCUUGGUGAUUAGAACCCACCCUAUGAAUAGAGCAGAGAUGCUGUGUUAGACCAACUACUGUUCCAGAAUCAAGUGAUUCGGAUCAUGUGUGUAAGCAAAUAAAAAGUUCAAUGUUGUGAAUUGAGAAAAAA